rnacentral:lncRNA from 1 species
AGGUUAUCUUGUAGAUUAUAAAAUGGCAGUAAGCUUCAUGGAUAUUCGUCAUCAAAGGCCUCCACUCAGUGUAUGUUGACCCGAGUCUUAAAAGACUGUUUCUUAAAUGCUCUUCCAGUGUUGAUUCUAAUAAAUGCUCAAACAUGAUCAAUUUAUCUUCUCACUUAUGUCCCCUCCCAGCAACAUGAUAAACCUCAAUUACAUAAAUCCUGAAUAACAAAAUAAUUGAUAAAAAAGCAACCAAUAUGCAGCCCAUAGAAAGUCUAUAAUUAACACUGAGAUAUAUGCAUUUCCCAUUUAUCAUGUUAAACUAGGAUUGGUUUAACAAAAAAAAAGAAUAACAAUAACUUACGACCAAAGUAUAAAACCCUCUGAGUUUCGUAUCUCUGAGAAAUUACAGUCACUUUUAAAGAGUGAUUCUUAGUAUGUGUCAUCCAAACAGAAAAGACUCUUAGAGCGCGUUUGUUUCAAGGAAAUUGUUAAAUCCACAACAGAAAUUGUUAUUUCCACAACAAAAGUGUUGUUAUAGAUCCUAUAGCGACGGUCUUCACUGUCGACACUUUGUUGUGGAAAUAACAAAAAGUGUUGUGGAUUUAACAAUUACCUUGUUUCAAGGAAAGUGUUUUCUGCAUUUCAGACGAUUGGAAUAACUGUAAAAAUUGGUAAUUGUUUUGCAGGUCAAUGCACAAGUUAGUUUUCCGAAAAAAUAACGUGUACUCUUCAACUACACAAGUCAUUUUCCCUAAAAAAUCAUUUCUUAGAAACAAGCAGACCUUCAAAAUUAGGAUAAAGUUGAGAAUACAUAAUAAUACUCUCUCAGUCCUAAAAUAAGUCCAUUAUCAAAAUCAAUGUAAAGAAUUUAAGGGGAAAAAAACUCACUUUUUAAGGGUGGCAGUAUGAUUCACAUAUUCAAUUACAUUCACAAUUCACAACAGCAGAUUACCAAAUAAUAAAUAAAAACUCAAAUGCUUGAUAUAAUGAUACAUUAAAACAGGGAACAAACUGAAAAUCAUUCAAUAACUCCAAAAAUUCAGUAAAAAUUUAUUUUUUAAAAUAAUAAUAAUUUGAGAAAUCGGUUUUGUACCAAAAUUCUUAACAAUAACAAGUUCGACGAUUUUGAAAAGGGAUGAGCUAGGGAGUCGUUGAAGCAAUGACACGUCGCCUAAUUAAAACUUAUCAUAACAAGCUUAUCAGAAUAAUUAAAACUAGAAGCUAUCUGCUGAUUGAGAAGGAAUAAAAUCAAAAUAAAAUGAUGGGAAAAUGAAAAUUUACAUGGUUCUGACAAUAAAACAAUGUAAAAUGCCAACCUGUAUUAAAUUAGCAAUAAAAGCAAGGGGGUAAGAGAGAUCUAGUUUGAGUAGACAAUUUAUCAAACACAUUGUGAGCUUCCUUAAUUGCUACCAAAUAAGAUAUACAAUAAAAUACAUACAGGUAGGUACUAAUAAUAUUAGGUUUCUUAACAGUAAACACACAAAAUUAAAAACUAACCUUUACUUUAGGAACACCAAUGGAGGAGGAGUUAACACUAUUAAAAUUUAGGGCUUGUUAGGGGAGGAGAGAAAUAGAGGAAAUCAAAACAAAAUUAGGGGUAGAUGAGAUAAAUACAUUUUGUUUUUACAUUGGAUUAAUGUAAAUAUAAAUUGAAAACCUAAAGACUGAAUUUACCUGCUCAAAUAGUUUCAAUAUGCAGAAUUGAUGUCAAGGGUUCCAAUGUGAGAGGGACGGAUGGAUGGAGUGAGAUGAGAGAGAUAUGUAUGGAGUUUGCAGUGGGAGAAAUGUGAGGACAUGCAGACAACCGAGCGAUUAGUUGUGGCUUUCUAUAGAGAGGAGGGGAUUACCGAAGAGGGAGAUGUUUGAUUUGUUAAUUCUUUUCCUUUUGUUGCUUACUGAUAUGCCGAAGACGACGAUUGAACGAGAUAGGGCGAUUGAGGGAGAUAGGGCUCGACUGAAUGUAUUUUCUAAACUGAGGGAGUUAAAAUUGAGGGAGAGAAUGGGCGUGAAAAUAAUGGAGGGACAUUUUCGCAGACAACUUAUUUUAGGAAAAACUUGUUUUAUUU